UACGUAGGGUGCAAGCGUUGUCCGGAUUUAUUGGGCGUAAAGAGCUCGUAGGCGGUUUGUCGCGUCGGAUGUGAAAACCCAGGGCUCAACCCUGGGCCUGCAUUCGAUACGGGCAAACUAGAGUAUGGCAUGGGAGACUGGAAUUCCUGGUGUAGCGGUGAAAUGCGCAGAUAUCAGGAGGAACACCGGUGGCGAAGGCGGGUCUCUGGGCCAAAACUGACGCUGAGGAGCGAAAGCGUGGGGAGCGAACAGG
rnacentral:rRNA from 1 species